rnacentral:rRNA from 1 species
AUUGAACGCUGGCGGCGUGCCUAACACAUGCAAGUCGAGCGGUAACAGGUGUAGCAAUACAUGCUGACGAGCGGCGAACGGGUGAGUAAUGCUUUGGAAUCUUCCCAGUAGUGGGGAAUAACCAGUCGAAAGAUUGGCUAAUACCGCAUACGUCUGUAAAGGGAAAGCGGGGGCUCGUAAGACCUCGCGCUAUUGGAUGAGCCAAAGUCGGAUUAGCUUGUUGGUGGGGUAAUGGCCUACCAAGGCGACAAUCCGUAGCUGGUCUGAGAGGACGACCAGCCACACCGGAACUGAGACACGGUCCGGACUCCUACGGGAGGCAGCAGUGGGGAAUAUUGGACAACGGGGGAAACCCUGAUCCAGCGACGCCGCGUGUGUGAAGAAGGCCUGCGGGUUGUAAAGCACUUUUAGUGGGGACAAAAAGCUACGGAUUAAUACUUCGUGGUCUUGAUUUAACCCAAAGAAAAAGCACCGGCUAACUCUGUGCCAGCAGCCGCGGUAAUACAGAGGGUGCGAGCGUUAAUCGGAAUUACUGGGCGUAAAGCGCGCGUAGACGGUUUUGUAAGUCAGAUGUGAAAUCCCUGGGCUCAACCUGGGAACUGCAUUUGAUACUGCAU